rnacentral:rRNA from 1 species
AGCGAACGCUGGCGGCAGGCCUAACACAUGCAAGUCGAACGAACCUUUCGGGGUUAGUGGCGGACGGGUGAGUAACACGUGGGAACGUGCCUUUAGGUUCGGAAUAACUCAGGGAAACUUGUGCUAAUACCGAAUGUGCCCUUCGGGGGAAAGAUUUAUCGCCUUUAGAGCGGCCCGCGUCUGAUUAGCUAGUUGGUUGAGGUAAUGGCUCACCAAGGCGACGAUCAGUAGCUGGUCUGAGAGGAUGAUCAGCCACAUUGGGACUGAGACACGGCCCAAACUCCUACGGGAGGCAGUAGUGGGGAAUCUUGCGCAAUGGGCGAAAGCCUGACGCAGCCAUGCCGCGUGAAUGAUGAAGGUCUUAGGAUUGUAAAAUUCUUUCACCGGGGACGAUAAUGACGGUACCCGGAGAAGAAGCCCCGGCUAACUUCGUG